UUGUUUUUUUUUUUUUUUUGGGCAGUCGAGAGGUGCAAAAUAUUGCAGCCAUGAAGAAAAUUUCUGUGCAAAGAAAUAACAGAACCUCUUCAGUGAUAAAGCCAUCUAGCUUUCCUGGAAAUAAUUCUGCAUCAUCUUCUAAACCUUCAAAGUCCCUCGAAAGGAGAUUCUAAGAGCAAUCUGAUUUCAGGCUCUGCAUCAUUUCUGGUGAGAGCAUCGUGAAAAUAUUUGUUUGCUUGAGCUUUGUUAAGAUAUAUAUUAGGAAUUUGAAUUAUUAAAUCAUUACAACAUAAAUGCUCAAGCUGCCUUGAUUUUCCUUUGCUUCUUUGUUACUUCCCAUUAUUUUCUUUCUAUAAAAAUGAGUAAAUUACAAAA